GGUCCUGUAGCUCAAUUGGAUAGAGUGGAGCAGUCGGAUGUUCAGGUUCCGGGUUCGAAUCCCGGCAGGGCCGCCA
rnacentral:tRNA from 1 species